GGCUGAUCCAAAGGCAGUGAGUCAUCUCAGAUGACUAUUCUCUGAGUUACAACGAAGCUAUUUGUUUUUCUUUCUUCCCCUUUCUCAUUACUGCACUUGACUAAUCUUGA
ensembl:misc_RNA Y_RNA Y RNA